AUGGGUGGCAAGGGCGGCGGUGGAGGUGGCGGCAAAGGGGGAGGAGGCGGCGGCGGCAAGGGCGGUGGUGGUGGAGGUGGAGGCGGCGGCGGCAAGGGCGGUGGUGGUGGAGGUGGAGGCGGCAGGAGCGGUGGUGGGGGAGGCGGAGGCGGAUCAAAGGGGUCAGGCGGCAGUGUCGGCGCAGGGAAGUCGUCCGGCACUGGCGGUGGCAGCGGUGGCAUGAUGAAGGCGCCCGGCGGCGACGGCGCCUACAUCUCCCGCCCUGGGUUCGAGUCCAACCCGCAGGGCUACUUCCAGGGCCUCCACGGCGCCGGAGGAAAGUAG
rnacentral:rRNA from 1 species